rnacentral:rRNA from 1 species
GUAGGGGGCGAGCGUUGUCCGGAUUUACUGGGCGUAAAGAGCGCGUAGGCGGUCUGAAGAGUCGGCUGUGAAAUCUCUGGGCCCAACCCAGAGGGGUCGGCCGAGACCUUUGGACUCGAGGGUGGUAGAGGAAGGUGGAAUUCCGGGUGUAGUGGUGAAAUGCGUAGAGAUCCGGAGGAACACCAGUGGCGAAGGCGGCCUUCUGGGCCACACCUGACGCUGAGGCGCGAAAGCGUGGGGAGCGAACCGAAUUAGAUACUCGGGUAGUCCACGCCCUAAACGAUGGACGCUAGGUGUCGGGGGUAUCGACCCCCCCGGUGCCCGAGCGAACGCAGUAAGCGUCCCGCCUGGGGAGUACGGCCGCAAGGCUAAA